rnacentral:rRNA from 1 species
GUCGAGAAUCUUUCGCAAUGGGCGCAAGCCUGACGAAGCGACGCCGCGUGCAGGAUGAAGGUCUUCGGAUUGUAAACUGCUGUCUUCCGGGAUCAAGAAACCGUCGUUAACACCGGCGGAAUCAGAUAGUACCGGAGGAGGAAGCCACGGCUAACUCUGUGCCAGCAGCCGCGGUAAUACAGAGGUGGCAAGCGUUGUUCGGAUUUACUGGGCGUAAAGGGUGCGUAGGCGGUCGUGUGUGUCGGAUGUGAAAUCCCACGGAUUAUCUGUGGAACGGCAUUCGAAACUGCAUGGCUUGAGUGCAGGAGAGGAGAGCGGAAUUCUUGGUGUAGCGGUGAAAUGCGUUGAUAUCAAGAGGAACGCCGGUGACGAAGGUGGCUCUCUGGACUGCUACUGACGCUGAGGCACGAAAGCUAGGGGAGCAAACAGGAUUAGAUACCCGAGUAGUCC